GGGGCCCGCACAAGCGGUGGAGCAUGUGGUUUAAUUCGACGCAACGCGAAGAACCUUACCUGGGUUUGACAUCCUGUGAAUAUCCUGUAAUUGGGAUAGUGCCUUCGGGAGCACAGAGACAGGUGCUGCAUGGCUGUCGUCAGUUCGUGUCGUGAGAUGUUUGGUUAAGUCCAGCAACGAGCGCAACCCUUAUCGUUAGUUGCCAGCAUUUAAAGAUGGGAACUCUAACGAGACUGCCCGGGUCAACCGGGAGGAAGGUGGGGAUGACGUCAAGUCCUCAUGGCCCUUAUAUCCAGGGCUACACACGUGCUACAAUGGUAGGUACAAAGGGCAGCGACUCCGCAAGGGGAAGCCAAUCCCAAAAGCCUAUCUCAGUCCGGAUUGGGGUCUGCAACUCGACCCCAUGAAGUUGGAAUCGCUAGUAAUCGCGGAUCAGCAUGCCGCGGUGAAUAUGUUCCCGGGCCUU
rnacentral:rRNA from 1 species